rnacentral:rRNA from 1 species
GACCUGGCUGGGCGGUCCGCUUAACGGCGUGUACUGUCUGGCUGGGCCUUACCUCUUGGUGAGCCGGCGUGCCCUUCACUGGUGUGCGUCGGGGAACCAGGACUUUUACCUUGAGAAAAUUAGAGUGUUCAAAGCAGGCCUAUGCGCCCGAAUACAUUAGCAUGGAAUAAUAAAAUAGGA